rnacentral:rRNA from 1 species
UACGUAGGGGGCAAGCGUUGUCCGGAUUUAUUGGGCGUAAAGAGCGUGUAGGCGGCCAGGUAGGUCAGCUGUGAAAACUCGAGGCUCAACCUCGAGACGCCGGUUGAAACCAUCUGGCUAGAGUCCGGAAGAGGAGAGUGGAAUUCCUGGAUGUAGCGGUGAAAUACGCAGAUAUCAGGAAGAACACCCGUGGCUAAGGCGGCUCUCUAGUACGGUACUGACGCUGAGACGCGAAAGCGUGGGGAGCGAACAGG